rnacentral:tRNA from 1 species
GGGCGUGUGGUCUAGUGGUAUGAUUCUCGCUUUGGGCGACGACUUGGGAAACAAGUUGAUUUAACUACAAGCAUGCGAGAGGCCCUGGGUUCAAUUCCCAGCUCGCCCC